rnacentral:lncRNA from 1 species
UCUAGCAGUAAUUCUUUAGCCUACGUUAGCCUACGUUAGAAUUACCUGGAGGGCUUGUUUAAAGGUACAGAUUUUGGGGCACCAAACCCAGAAUUUCUGGUUAAGUACAUUUUUGGUGCAGAGCCUAUGAGCUUGGGUUUCUUAGUAUGUUCCUAGGUGACUUUGAUGCCCUUGGGACAGGGACAACAGUCUACCUCUGACCUAUUCUACCUCUAUCCUCCAUUAAUCUCCAUAUUAAGAGGCUGUCUGGGCCUAAGAAUAAACCAUUUGAUUGUCACAAAGGAGGCUUGGAUCUGUUUUUUUUUAAAUCUCUGAUAGCAGAUAAAAAAUGUUUAGAAAUCUGUAAUUUAUCUUAAAACUUUUCUCCUUAUACCCAGGUAUAAAUUGAUUUUCUAAUUUACCAGUUUCAUUGACUUAAUCUGACCUCUAGGUGGCAGCAGCUCUAAUCUCUCCAAAGAGAAGAAAAGAGCUGUAUGUUGAGAGAGAGAGAGAGAGAGAGAGAGAGAGAUUAACAUCACUGAACCUCAGUUCUUGACCAGGUAAAAGUAGAGGCCAACAUUCCAUGUCACGGCUACAGAGGCGUGAAAUGAACACCGUCUAGGGAAUACGGAGGGACAGACAACACGUGUUUAGUGUCACAUAUUUGUCACCUACUCAUUACAACUCACUCAGAAUUAAUUGGGAUUUUGAGGUUGUUGUCCUGGGCUUGAACUUAAUAUUUUCUUCAUACCUGUUAUUUAAUUCCGCAGAAGAUACUGCUGCUUCUGCCAGAAGUUCAGCAGAUGAGUGAGAGAGAACAAAGACUGGCUGGAGCUCCAGUUCUGCUAUGUCAUUGCUAUGUGACCCUUCUGAGCUCCCAUUUCCUUGAUGGAGCUGACACUGAUUGGACCAUGGAGGUCCAUGAGGAUGAAAUAGGAACUUACAGGAAAUUCACAUCAGAGAAGGGAAGAGAGUAUUCUGCAGGAAGUCAAAGCACAUUGAAGUGACCAAGAUGAUAUCUUAGAGUCAUGUACUGAUAUGUAAGGGAAGAAAAAGCACUUUAAAGCAUGAGAGAUGUGUUUUAGAAUCCAAAAACCUUUCUAUUGGAGUUUUAAAUAUCGAAAUGAAGCCUCAAAAUGAUGGUUAAAUCUUCUCUGCAAGACAUCUGUGUAGAACUGAUUCUCACAACUGAUGUUGUGUCUUCAUCAGCAGGUGGGUACCCAGAUGCUCCUGAUGACCAGCCUUGCGACACUCUCAGGAAAUGAGAACAUUAUUCUAUGGUCAUAAGAUCAGUGAUUGCAAAGUGCUUUCUAGACAAUAAUGGGAACUAUAAGGUGAAAGAUAGGGUGAUCCAUGUCUGAGGAGUUGUGAUUUGUGUUUGGUGCCACCCACCAUGGAAAAGCUGGUCUCAGCCCUGCCUUUGCUUGGACCAACAAGAGCUGUAUAGUAUGCAGCAUCUUUAGGAGGAAGCACCACCAGCAGGUCACAGUCUACUUCAACCACCUGCCUGGUGCCUGCUUGGAUUGUUCCCAGGUCUGGGCAAGAGAAAUCCCUCCUAGAAGACAGGAAGGGCUUCAGGCAAUGCUUGGUGGUGGCUGUGCUACCUGUCCCUGAAGCAAAAUGGCUGGCAGUGGGAGCUAUGUAUAGACCUGUGUUUACUGUGUAGGUGAGGGAACUGUGGAGACCACGUGCAACUCUGAGUGUCUUUGCUUGUAUCAUUGGGUCAGUAUUUGUCUUCUCUAUGAUGAACAUAAACCUAAAAUCCAAAGAGCCUGAUAUGAUGUGACAAGGGUGCAUUUCUCUAUACUAAUGUGGCCACACAGAAACUUUAUUUUUCUAAUUUCUCCCUUUUAAGAACUCUGCAUAAACCCAGGUGGAGCAUCACUGGGUUGGUAAUCUAAGCUAAGGGUCCAUGGACUGUUACAGUAUUUGAGUUUCAUCAUAAGGUCUAAUUUAAAUAUGAAAAUAUGGAAAAUCAUGUAUGAAUAUGCACUGAAAUUCUAUACCUGGACUUAACAAAGAAAACAUAGUCUGUAUGGAAAAUAAUACUUUUUUUUUUUUUUUUUUUUUUACAAAAUUAAAAGAAAUCCUUGGAUAUUUCCAGAUUCUGCUCCUAACAAGACCCUUUCCUUCUGAGCCUGCCACGAUGCCUCUCUAACCUUCGAGAAAGACCCAUUUGACCAGCUACUGGGAUUAGUGUAUAAAGACUUAAGACCAGGGCUAGGCUAGUGCUGACUUAAGUUCACCAUUUGUUCAUUUUGGUGCAUUGAGCAAUUGUUUGAUAUGCUAGUUUUCUCAUCUGUGAGACGGGAUUAUAUCAGAUUCAACCUCACAGUCUGUGGGGAGGGGAUUAUGAGAUAAAAUAUGUAAAAGAACCUAGCCCAGUGCCUGGUGUUUGGAAAUCUGUUUCUUAAUGUUCCAUGCAUAAGCCUGCCGCAGGGUUUUGGUCUCUUUUCUCUUCUGUCCCACAUAUUUGCAAAGCUCUCUCUCCUUUGUCCUUCAAGCUUUGACUCCAAUGUCACUUUCUCAAUGAGGCUUUCCCUUGCCACCUUACUUAAAUUGCAACACUCUCCCCUUGGAUGAUCCCUCUUUCUCAUUACCCACUUUAAUUUUCUCCUUGGUUCUUAUCAUCUUUUAACGACAGCAUUUAUUUCACUUGUUUAUUGUCUGUAUUCCCUACUACAACACAAGUCCUUUGAGGGCAAGGAGUUUUGUCAAUUCUUGCCUAUUUGAUCUCUUUCAUAACCCAUAGUGUAGACACAACACACAGUACGCACUCCAUAGUAUUAGUUGAAUGAAUAAAUGAAAUGAUACACAUCAGCUACUCUUAUACUAUCAGUGCCCCUUUUGACUUAUUGUGGUCACCUCUGUUGUGGUUGUCCUUUUCCAUUUCCUAUUUGUGUAUUUUCUUCCCCUUUGCUGAGUCAUGAGCUCCUAUUAUUUCAUUGUGUUCACGUAAUAUUUGACAGAAUCUCUUUCUCUGUAGACUCUAGCCCCCACAGAAUGAGAACCCAUACUUCUGGU